UACGAAGGGGGCUAGCGUUGCUCGGAAUCACUGGGCGUAAAGCGCACGUAGGCGGAUUCUUAAGUCGGGGGUGAAAUCCUGGAGCUCAACUCCAGAACUGCCUUCGAUACUGGGAAUCUCGAGUCCGGGAGAGGUGAGUGGAACUCCGAGUGUAGAGGUGAAAUUCGUAGAUAUUCGGAAGAACACCAGUGGCGAAGGCGGCUCACUGGCCCGGUACUGACGCUGAGGUGCGAAAGCGUGGGGAGCAAACAGGG
rnacentral:rRNA from 1 species